GUAGGUGGCAAGCGUUGUCCGGGAAUUAUUGGGGCGUAAAGCGCGCGCAGGCGGUUCUUUAAGUCUGAUGUGAAAGCCCACGGGCUCAACCGUGGGAGGGUCAUUGGAAACUGGAGAACUUGAGUACAGAGGAGGAAAGCGGAAUUCCACGUGUAGCGGUGAAAUGCGUAGAGAUGUGGAGGAACACCAGUGGCGAAGGCGGCUUUCUGGUCUGUAACUGACGCUGAGGCGCGAAAGCGUGGGGAGCAAACAGGAUUAGAUACCCUGGUAGUCCACGCCGUAAACGAUGAGUGCUAAGUGUUAGGGGGCUUCCGCCCCUUAGUGCUGCAGCUAACGCAUUAAGCACUCCGCCUGGGGAGUACGGCCGCAAAGGCUGA
rnacentral:rRNA from 1 species